rnacentral:rRNA from 1 species
UACGGAGGGUGCAAGCGUUAUCCGGAUUCACUGGGUUUAAAGGGUGCGUAGGAGGGCAGGUAAGUCAGUGGUGAAAUCUCCAAGCUUAACUUGGAACUGCCGUUGAUACUAUCUGUCUUGAAUACCGUGGAGGUGAGCGGAAUAUGUCAUGUAGCGGUGAAAUGCUUAGAUAUGACAUAGAACACCAAUUGGCGAAGGCAGCUCGCUACACGAAUAUUGACUCUGAGGCACGAAAGCGUGGGGAUCAAACAGGA